rnacentral:rRNA from 1 species
GAUGAACGCUGGCGGCGUGCCUAAUACAUGCAAGUCGAGCGAACAGACGAGGAGCUUGCUCCUCUGACGUUAGCGGCGGACGGGUGAGUAACACGUGGAUAACCUACCUAUAAGACUGGGAUAACUUCGGGAAACCGGAGCUAAUACCGGAUAAUAUAUUGAACCGCAUGGUUCAAUAGUGAAAGACGGUUUUGCUGUCACUUAUAGAUGGAUCCGCGCCGCAUUAGCUAGUUGGUAAGGUAACGGCUUACCAAGGCAACGAUGCGUAGCCGACCUGAGAGGGUGAUCGGCCACACUGGAACUGAGACACGGUCCAGACCCCUACGGGAGGCAGCAGUAGGGAAUCUUCCGCAAUGGGCGAAAGCCUGACGGAGCAACGCCGCGUGAGUGAUGAAGGUCUUCGGAUCGUAAAACUCUGUUAUUAGGGAAGAACAAAUGUGUAAGUAACUAUGCACGUCUUGACGGUACCUAAUCAGAAAGCCACGGCUAACUACGUG